rnacentral:rRNA from 1 species
UGGGGAAUAUUGCACAAUGGGCGAAAGCCUGAUGCAGCGACGCCGCGUGAGGGAUGACGGCCUUCGGGUUGUAAACCUCUAUCAGUAGGGCCGAAGCGCAAGUGACGGUACCUGCAGAAGAAGCACCGGCUAACUACGUGCCAGCAGCCGCGGUAAUACGGAGGGUGCGAGCGUUGUCCGGAAUUACUGGGCGUAAAGAGCUCGUAGGCGGUUUGUCACGUCGUCUGUGAAAUCCUAGGGCUUAACCCUGGACGUGCAGGCGAUACGGGCUGACUUGUGUACUACAGGAGAGACUGGAAUUUCUGGUGUAGCAGUGGAAUACACAGAUGUCAGGAAGAACACCGAUGGCGAAGGCAGGUCUCUGGGUAGUAACUGACGCUGAGGAGCGAAAGCAUGGGUAGCAAACAGG